AUUGAACGCUGGCGGCAGGCCUAACACAUGCAAAUCGAACGGUAACAGGAAGCAGCUUGCUGCUUUGCUGACGAGUGGCGGACGGGUGAGUAAUGUCUGGGAAACUGCCUGAUGGAGGGGGAUAACUACUGGAAACGGUAGCUAAUACCGCAUAACGUCGCAAGACCAAAGAGGGGGACCUUAGGGCCUCUUGCCAUCGGAUGUGCCCAGAUGGGAUUAGCUAGUAGGUGGGGUAACGGCUCACCUAGGCGACGAUCCCUAGCUGGUCUGAGAGGAUGACCAGCCACACUGGAACUGAGACACGGUCCAGACUCCUACGGGAGGCAGCAGUGGGGAAUAUUGCACAAUGGGCGCAAGCCUGAUGCAGCCAUGCCGCGUGUAUGAAGAAGGCCUUCGGGUUGUAAAGUACUUUCAGCGGGGAGGAAGGGAGUAAAGUUAAUACCUUUGCUCAUUGACGUUACCCGCAGAAGAAGCACCGGCUAACUCCGUG
rnacentral:rRNA from 1 species